GUUUAUUUAGUGUCCUGAUUUUAGAGAUUAUAUUGUUGUGUAUUGUUAUUAGAGAACAGUGAUUAUUUCACAUUAUAUUGAUAAUGUUAUAUGAUUUGCCUGGAACAGGAUUAUAUGAGGCCCCUUCUGCACAAUGGUUUAAAAUCCACACUGAAGUGGUGUUUUUUUUGUUUUUUUGUUUUUUUGCUGUGGCCUAGGAGGAAGCCUGGCUUUGAAGCUGGAAGACUGUUUAGUGUUAAUCAAGGUGGGUCACAAAGGGGUUGAUCUAUGUGUGAAAUAACGUCCAGUGUGGUAGAAAAAACUGUUGUCUGGUUGAGGGAGGUGUGGAUGUUGCCAUGGAUGUCCUUGAUUAGCAUUGAAUAGGUAUGCAGCUUCAAGGUCUGCCUGGUUAGUGCAUGGAAGAAUCCUUUACUGAGAGGUGUUAGCUGGUUGUGAUUGUUUCCUGUCUGGUAUGUCCAGAUGUGUAUUUGAGGUAUUUUGUAAGUGUAAUGGUUGUAGUGUUGUAUUUUUAGUAUGGGGCUUCCCCUUUUCCCCCUCUGUCUGAUAGCAGUGUUUUUGUUUGUUUGUGUGGUAUGGCGUUGCCUCCCUCCCCUUUUCCCUUCCUUCCCUGAAGUUUUUUAAGUUUUGUAGUUUUUGUGGGGAUCUUGCUGUCCCAUGGUGUCUCUUUCCUCUUGGGGAUGUCCCUGAUGGCUGCAUUUUGGAACGUGCCUUGUUGUUGUAAUGUGUUGUUGGCUGUGGAGAGACUGUUUUGUUUUCUUCCCUGCUUUUGUCCCCAGUGGGGGGAGGUGAGAGCUGUGGACGGCAGAAGUGGGGAAGGGAAGGUGAGUGAUGGUGGCUCCUGCGGCUGGGAGGGGGGGCAGUUUGGAGGUGAAAAACGUCGCAGGGAAGACAAAGCAUACCAUAGAAUUGUGCUAGAGGACCCAUUGACACAAAGGACCUCAUCACAUGAAGACUGGGAUUCGCUACUCAUCAUGGCAAAUCUGGCAGAGCGUGGCGGAGAGUGUGGGGAACCCAUCACCGCGAACCCCCCAUUGCCCGGCUUUCCCUUCACCCCAUUCCAUGGAAGGACGUGUCUCCCACCUGGCUUCCCCCUGUUGUUGCCUAUGCAACACAGGAAGUCUCCCGUAUUGCUGCUGCAGUGGCUUGCAAUGCUCCCUCUUCACUUGCGCCACAGAAGUGGAUCUACAUCGUGGAAUGGGAUCCAGCGGGUUCUGUGCCACAAGUGGAGCAUUGUACGAUAGGCAAUUUUGCCCAUCUGAUGAGGUGGCUAGAGAAGUGCUUUCUCUAAGCCUCCAGUAUGAUUCUGUGGUCAAUGUCUGGCAGAUCUUCAACAAGAUCACAUGUUAAGUCAUGUGAUAAGCCUAUUGUACAAGAUAUCAUGCUUCCUUCUCAGCUUUACGGGGGAUUUUGGAGUUGUGUAUAACAAUUUAGAGAUUUGAGCAACAUUAAAAUUUAUGAGGAUGUGUGGGAGAAACUGAUGAGAAGAAAACUGAACUUUUGACUUACACACUACAAUGGAACAAAACCUAGAAAUGAAUGGAUUAAAUGGAGAAGAAAGGAGACUGAAGUGGAAACAGAAACAAUGAAAGAGGAAGAUAAAAUUAAAAUCAUUGUGGUAAAUACAAACACAGCUACAAAGUCUUUUCCCAUUACCUCGUAAGUGUACAAUAAUACAUGAACAUGUAAUUAAUAUACAGCAUUAAUAGAGUG
rnacentral:lncRNA from 11 species